rnacentral:lncRNA from 1 species
GAGGGACCUCUAUGAAGGAGAAGAGUUUGAGUCUGAAGAAGAAGUCUUCGAGGAAGAUGAGGAUGACUAUGUUGAACCCUACUGAACUGCAUUUGUGUGACUAUUUAUGAGUGACUGUGUUCUUUUGUGACUUUUGCUUGUGUUGUCCUUUAAUUUGCUUGUGAGAACUAAGAACUGCAUCUAUGUGUUUGUGUGUGGGGCUGUGGGCAGCUAUGUGAUUGUGCUGUCCUUUAUUAAUCAAAUGUCCUAGUGCUUUGUGCAAAUGUGCCUAUGCUUGUGCUUUCAAUUUGUAAUUACUAGGUGUUGAUAUGGUGUGCAGUGUGCUCAUGGAUGGGAGGUUGCUGAAAUCCCAAGAUAAGUGACCAACUUGUUGUCUAUUUUUCUUUUUAUGAACGCCAUGCUGUCUAUUCACUAUUUAGUAUUUACUAGCUCUCUAAAUGUGUUAUAGGAGCUAGGAACAUGUAAGAAUUACCUACCAAGGGAUCAAGUAUGUCUACUCACCCUCUUUUCAUAUUGAUUGUCACCUAUAUUCAGAUUUUGUGCUAUAAAUAGAUAUAUACAUAAUAUAUAGAAUAUAUACAUAUAUAGCCAAUAUAUAUAUAUAUAUUGGCUAUAUUGCCAAAACGUCUAGAAAAACGCCUAGAAACGCCUAGGCGUGGUUAAUCCUGCCUAGGCGCUAGGCAAGGGGUCUCCGCCUAGAUUCCGCCUGGCGCCUAGCGUAACUUUGAUUAUUAGGGUGCAGUUAAUUUAUACCAACAGUGGUCAUGUCUAAAAUUCAGGAGAAUUCAUGGUUGAAAACUAGGCACUUGAAAGGAAUUACUGUAGAGCAACUAUUCAUCAUCUCCAAGACAAAACUUUAAUAUUCUCUAAUUUUUAUUUGACUCUAAACUAGACUGACUAUAGACACACUCUAUGAUCACACCUUAAUAUAUAGAUAAGUAUUUUUUUUGUUUUUAUUCAUUUCUUUUUUUAGACUCUAAAUAUAUGGACCUUCAUGUGCCCAUAUAUUUUUGGUAUUUUAUAACUAUAUAAAAUAGACUCGAUAAUCACCUAGGUAUAGUUACCUGAUAACUAGGGGAUGCUCCUCCCCCAAGCUAGAUGUUUGCAAUAGUUGUUGAUGAUCUUCAGAAUGAGCUAACCGACAGCGCUCCAGGUGGGUGCCACUAAUAGACUCUCUUCUUGUCAUAAUGUUGUUUCUGCAUAAUUAUACUCCAAAAAGAAAACUAAAACUCGAGGCUCAAAUUUAAUAAUGGGUUAGCGGUCAGCUAGUAAGUGAUUGAUUAUUCUUUGAGUUGGUUUGAAUGGAUAGAUUCUAUCAGGAUUCUCUUUUUUUAGGAUUUUCUAGUUUAAUUAUGUAAUAAUGAAAUAUGUGUACAUGAUGUAUAGAUAUAUAUAUUAUGCCACCACAGAGAAUAUUUAUUCUUAUGGGGUUUAGGCUUUUCAUAAUGUAAGAAAGUAAAUACAUAAGCUAUUAUUAUUAUUAUUAUUAUUAUUAUUAUUAUUAUUAUUAUUAUUAUUAUUAUUAUUAUUAUUAUUAUUAUUAUUAUUAUUAUUAUUAUUAUUAUUCAUGUCACCACAAUAAAUAUUCCUACAAGGUUACCAUAAGUUUAUUCAAGUGGAGCUUUUAAUAUUUUAUGAUGCAGUAAAUGAAGCAAUAAAGAUUUAUUUUAUUAUUUUAUUUUUUAUAUUUAUGCAGAUGAAAAUAUUAAAGUGAAAUUAUUAAUGUAGACAGGAAUACUAAUUAAUUAGAUAACUAUCGUAUUACCUUAUGGUAUAAAAUUUAAAGUUUACCGACUGGUCUUUCUUCUACUCUUGUGUAUCUCUCCAUCUUGAGAGAUGGAGGUCUUGAUGGUUGCAUACCUCUAGCGAUGGUGUUGAUACCGUUUUUGACACGUAUCCGGAUAGAUAGUGGAACCUGGAUAGGCAGGUGAAAAAGUAAUGGUUGAUUGUCAGAAGAGUUACCGAUGGGUUAAGAUGCCGAUGAUAAAGCAGCAGGAUGUGACCAAGUCCAGGGAUGAUGAUUGAUCUAUGCCGAUGGCCGAUGUUGAUGGUUGCCGAUGCCGAUGGAGGGUGAUUUGUCAGUGAUAGCAGAGGAAGGCGUAGGGAGUGUCAAUAGGGUGGUGACGGUGUGCCGAUCGCCUAUGGUGGAUAGAUUAGUGUUUUCCAUAAUUAUUAGAGUUUGUUUUACAUACGGAUUCUGUUCGAUUUGGAAUUAGAGUCCUAGUCGUGUCUGAUUAUAACUCUUUUAGACAGGGUAUAAAUGUAGACCCCAUAGCAAUGUAAGGUACAAUCACAAUCAAUCAAACACAAGUUUUUACAUCUUUUCCAGCAUCUACUUUUCGACGACUUCGUCAACUUGCAUAUUUUCUUUUUACUUACGAGUUCUUAGGA